rnacentral:rRNA from 1 species
ACGGGAGGCAGCAGUGGGGAAUAUUGCACAAUGGGCGCAAGCCUGAUGCAGCAACGCCGCGUGAGGGAAGACGGUCUUCGGAUUGUAAACCUUUGUCUUUGGUGAAGAAGAAAGUGACGGUAGCCAAGGAGGAAGCCACGGCUAACUACGUGCCAGCAGCCGCGGUAAUACGUAUGGAGCAAGCGUUAUCCGGAUUUACUGGGUGUAAAGGGAGCGUAGACGGCAAAGCAAGUCUGAAGUGAAAUGCCGGGGCUUAACCCCGGAACUGCUUUGGAAACUGUUUAGCUAGAGUGCAGGAGAGGUAAGCGGAAUUCCUAGUGUAGCGGUGAAAUGCGUAGAUAUUAGGAGGAACACCAGUGGCGAAGGCGGCUUACUGGACUGUAACUGACGUUGAGGCUCGAAAGCGUGGGGAGCAAACAGGAUUAGAUACCCUGGUA